AAAUUUUUUAACCGUACCAAAACCAAUACAGGUGGGCAGGUUGAGUAUACUAAGGUGUUCGAGUUAACCGCGCUUAAGGAACUCGGCAAAAUGACUCUGUAACUUUGGGAGGAGGAGGGCUCUUGGAGACGGGAGCAUUUAAAACAAGGGGAUGGCGACUGUUUAUUAAAAACACAGGACUCUGCAAAAUAGCAAUAUGACGUAUAGGGUCUGACGCCUGCCCGGUGCCAUUGAGCGAAAACAAUGCGUUCUUGCGCAAAGUAUAAGCUUCGGUAAACGGCGGCUGUAACUCUGACGGUCCUAAGGUAGCGAAAUUCCUUGGCGGGUAAGUUCCGUCCUGCAUGAAUGGCGUAACGACCUUCCCACUGUCUCAAGCGCGGGCUCGGUGAAAUUGAAUUCCUCGUGAAGAUGCGAGGGUAUCAUGGCUAGACGGAAAGACCCUGUGCACCUUUACUAUAAUCAUGCAACGUCUUUAUUUUGCUCUGGCUCAGAAUAGGCGGGAGCUUUAGAUCUCAAAUAAGUUCCAGUGAGAUACCGCCCCUUUGCAUUUUUUUGGUUUUUUGUAUGAUUGGUAGUUUGGCUGGGGUGGCCGCCUCCUAAAGAGUAACGGGGGUGCACAAAGGUAAGUUCAACCCGAUUUUCGGGGCAUGAGCGUAAUGGUACAAACUUGCCUGACUG
rnacentral:rRNA from 16 species